CCUACGGGUGGCAGCAGUGGGGAAUAUUGGACAAUGGGGGGAACCCUGAUCCAGCCAUGCCGCGUGUGUGAAGAAGGCCCUCGGGUUGUAAAGCACUUUCAGUGAGGAAGAACGCCUGGUGGUUAAUACCCAUCAGGAAAGACAUCACUCACAGAAGAAGCACCGGCUAACUCCGUGCCAGCAGCCGCGGUAAUACGGAGGGUGCGAGCGUUAAUCGGAAUUACUGGGCGUAAAGCGCGCGUAGGUGGCUUGAUAAGCCGGUUGUGAAAGCCCCGGGCUCAACCUGGGAACGGCAUCCGGAACUGUCAAGCUAGAGUGCAGGAGAGGAAGGUAGAAUUCCCGGUGUAGCGGUGAAAUGCGUAGAGAUCGGGAGGAAUACCAGUGGCGAAGGCGGCCUUCUGGACUGACACUGACACUGAGGUGCGAAAGCGUGGGUAGCAAACAGGUUUAGAUACCCGAGUAGUC
rnacentral:rRNA from 1 species